UGCCUGUCGGCCUCCCACCCGCCCGCUGCUGGCCCGGAGCUGAGGUUUGGCUCCGGGUGUGAUCCGAACGCGGCCGUGUCUGCUGAAAUCCAGGGCUUUGUUAUAGGAACGAACGUCACAGUUUUUUGUUCAGGGUUCCCUGCGUGCGGCAGGGGGAUUGGAGCUUGAUGAUCCUUGAGAUCUCUUCCAAUCCAAGCCGUUCUGUGAUUCUCUCAUUCCCCAUUGCUGAGAAUCGAGCCGUUUUCAGAUUUGAUCCAGCAGAUGAAGAUAAAAGAAAGCUCUCAAAGAAGGAUGACGAGGACUAAUUCCAUUCUGUGUCCAGUUCUUAAAAAACUAAUGUUUUGUUUUUAAGCUCAACCUCAAAAGUAUGGUUAAAAAAGAAGGAAUAAAAUAAGUCUGCUGUGCUCACGUUGUUCCACAUGUGGUAUUGCUCCUGUUCUGUCAAGAUGGUUGUGUUUAUACCUUGGAAUACACAAAGAAGUCCUAAGAACACUUGACCUGAAAAUAAGUGAAGAUGUUAUAAAAUCAGGCACAUUUCCUGUGUUCUGCUACUGUAGAACUUGAAUUCUCGAUGGACUCUUCUGCCAGUUCUCUUAGGAAUGUGCACUGCUACUAAGGAAAGUGGAAAAUGGAAAGAAGAAACAUUUUUUUUUCCUUGCUUUAAAUGUGAGUGAUAAGCAUAACUCUUGUGGUACUUACAGAAUAUAUGGCAGACUACAAAAUAAAAAUGUAAAGCUCUCAUUUCUUAUUUUCUACAUUUCUGUGGUGUUUAGCAGAGUUCUCAUUCACCUCUGAGUUGCAGCUUUUAUAGGUUUGAAUAAUCUGUGUCUAAAUUAAAUUUUUUAUUCAAUAAAGCAGUACUAUUUGCUUGGAUUUGGGUACUUCCAGGUUGGAAACUGUGUUGCUUUGUUUCUGCUCUAAUCCAAAGGCACAUGUGAGAGAAGAGAAUGAUUUGCUGGAGGGGAAGAAGCGAAGGAAAAUAGUUUAAUUUUCUCAUUUAUACAUUAUUGAUGCUGAGAAGCUACAGUAAAUUUGUCUGACAUAGUGACAUCAAAGUUCAGUGGUCUGUGAGCUGAGAAGAGUGGCCGUGGGUUGAGUGUGCUUUAUAGACGUCUGCUUCAAAGACAAAGAGGAGAUGAAAGAGGACGUCACAUCCAGGCACCAUUGGACCGAAGAGCAAAAUUGUGAAGUGCUCAAAUUUUCAUUAGCAUCUAUUGUUGCCAACUGAGAUUGAGCCAGGAAAAUAUAAGCACCCAAUAAGAAGUACCUCUGCUGAACAGAGAUUUCUUUAAAAAAUAUAAUUAUACUUGGCCUGUAAACAGGAAUGGUGAUGUUGAAGUGAAGCAAUGAUACUUCUUUGACCAAAGCCACAUAAUAGGUCUGUGGCUGAGCAAGGAAGAAAAUGCAGAUCUCCUGCAUCUCAGGGUGUUGCUUUUUAUGUAGGACCACAUUACUUCUUAACAUAAAGCGUUUAUGCUGUCGGGAGAAAGGAGCAGAAUGGAUGAAUACCUUGCUUGUCAAGGCAGGGUGACAAAUGGCUGUUUCUGGGCUUUGUGCUUCAACGCACAGUAAAAUUCUAAAAUGUGUGAAUAUUACUUAUGCUGCAGCAUGGAUGAAAGGAGCUCUAUGUAUUGCUCUUUCUUCACUUUACCAUUAGCCCAAAAGCUGAGAACUCUUGAGUUUUAGAGAAGUGAAUGUCUUUUAUAACUGUA
ensembl:lncRNA